AGCCCUACGGGGGGCAGCAGUGAGGAAUAUUGGUCAAUGGGCGGGAGCCUGAACCAGCCAAGCCGCGUGAAGGAAGAAGGCGCCAGGCGUCGUAAACUUCUUUUGUCGGGGAACAAAGGGCGCCACGCGUGGCGUUGUGAGUGUACCCGCAGAAAAAGCGUCGGCUAACUCCGUGCCAGCGGCCGCGGUAAUACGGAGGAUGCGCGCGUUAUCCGGAUUUAUUGGGUUUAAAGGGUGCGUUGGCGGUCCG
rnacentral:rRNA from 1 species